rnacentral:misc_RNA from 1 species
GCCUCACUAAUGGCCAACUACCAACUGGAUAAAUGUAUUCACAUUACAAAGAAUAAAUAAAAAGCAAUCUAUUGUAGGAAUCUUGCUGGCUUUUAGCUCCACCAUCCAAGUUGAUGAGAGAAAUGAUUUGGGUUAUGGGCCAGCCAGUGAGCCUGCAGGAGUCUCAAAUCUUCACUUGAUUCGGUAGGUAUUGGAAGAAAACUUAAAGUUUACAAUAUGGAACAAAUAGGAUUAGUUUAGUCAAGAAAAAUGAGAGCCCUUUUAUUAAUCCAAAUUUGUUUUCUUUGCA